GAGGGCCCAAGUUGGCCCAUGCCUUAUAUGUAUUUUUUUUAUAUAAAACCCUCUAAAAUCAGGACAGGAAGUCAAGAGCAACACUCGAAAAGCAGGAGAAUUCCAGAUAGGAAACAAUCAGGGCCAGCUGACACCUCCCAACCAAAGGAUUCUCCCAGGCAGGAAGCAGCCAGGCUUCAAAGCUGAAAGGCCAAUCCAUUCUAAUCAAGCUGGCCGACUGCAACAUGGCAAGACAAGAGUUGUUUCUCCCACAGGAAUAUAUCUCAACCCCACUUGCUUAGUUUCCAACAGACCUCACAACCUCUGAGGAUGCCUGCCAUAGAUGUGGAUGAAACGUCAGAAGAGAAUGCUUCUGGAACAUAUCCUUACAGCCUGGGAAACUCCUAGCAACCCAGCAGGAAACAACUGAAGACUUGGAUGUUUCGGCAAGCCUUCGGUGAGACAGUCAUUAAUUAAUCAGCCCCAGAGGGUUUUUAAUAAUCUAUCCUGUAUUUAUUACGGUCUUACCAUUUAUGUGUUUUAAAUGCAAUGUUAUCCUUGUAUUGUUUUAAUUGACACCCUGUUUCCCCUAAAAUAAGACAUCCCCAGAAAAUAAGACCUAGUACAGGUUUUGCUGAAUUGCUAAAUAUAAGGCCUCCCCCGAAAGUAAGACUUAGCAAAGUUUUUGUAUGGAAUUAUGCCCGCCAAACAGAAUACCAGAGCAUGCAGGAUCGGUAAAUGUACGUACCAUAAAGUGUUGUACAUGGAAAUAUUGGUAGUAACAAGAAAUUUUUGAUAGGAUUCAAAGUUUGUCUGGUUAUGCUGGUUUGUGAUGACAACUACUGUACAGUAUAUAAUAAAUGUUCAUUUUUUUGUUCAACAAUAAAUGUGAAUUCUUCUUCAUGGAAAAAUAAGACAUCCCCUGAAAAUAAGACCUAGAGCAUCUUUGGGAGCAAAAAUUAAUAUAAGACACUGUCUUAUUUUUGGGGAAACACUGUAUAUUGUAUUACUUUUAUCUUUUUUAUAUUGUGAUUUGUAUUAUAUUGCUUAUAUUUUGUCCUUAUGUUGUUUGAGUCUUUGCCCCAUGUAAGUUGCCCGAGUCCCCGCAGAGAGAUGGUGGCGGGGUAUGAAGUUUUAUUAUUAUAUUAUUGUUUUUUAAAUGCAUUCUUUGAUGUCUUAACGGUUGACUGUGCUGGGGAUGCUUUUAACUAGUAGUGGUUUUUUAUAUUCAAGGUGCUCCCUGCUUGGGUUUUAAUAAUGCUGUACUUACUUGGUUUUAUCUUGUUAUUUAUUAUGUUGGUGCUAAUCCAUGAAAUAUGUAGUACAGUAGAGUCUCACUUAUCCAAGCCUCGCUUAUCCAAACUUCUGGAUAAUCCAAGCCAUUUUUGUAGUCAAUGUUUUCAAUACAUCGUGAUAUUUUGGUGCUAAAUUCGUAAAUACAGGAAUUACAACAUAACAUUACUGCGUAUUGAACUACUUUUCCGUCAAAUUUGUUGUAUAACAUGAUGUUUUGGUGCUUAAUUUGUAAAAUCAUAACCUAAUUUGAUGUUUAAUAGGCUUUUCCUUAAUCCCUCCUUAUUAUCCAAGAUAUUCGCUUAUCCAAGCUUCUGCUGGCCCGUAUAGCUUGGAUAAGUGAGACUCUACUGUAUUAUUAUUUAUUUUUUAAAUGCAUUCUUUGAUGUCUUAACAGUUGACUGUGCUGGGGAUGCUUUUAACUAGUAGCGGUUUUUUAUAUCCAAGGUGUUCCCUGCUUGGGUUUUAAUAAUGCUGUACUUGCUUGGUUUUAUCUUGUUUUUAAUUAUGUUGGUGCUAAUCCAUGAAAUAUGUAGUAUUUGAAGGGCAUAUCCUGACAUUGAUAUUUGCAGUGUUUUAAUGAUUUAUAUAGUGUUUUAAUGGUAUGUUUUAUAUUGUAUUUGAUGGUCUGGCUUUUGUGUAUAUGUUUGUUUGUCUUGCAUGCAAAAGGCCUAUGGUCUAAGCAUUAAAUAAAUUUGGAAUUUGAUAUUAUAGGAUUGUAUUGGGCUUGCCCCCAUGUGAGCCGCUCCGAGUCCCCGUUGGGGGAGACGGAGGCAGCAUACAAAAAUAAAAUUAUUAUUAUUAUUAUUA